UAAAUUCAUCCCCCUUAUAAUAAUGAAAAUCAGCCCCAAAAACUCAAAAAUAAAAAUAAAAAUUAAUAUUCUGGACCAACAUUACAUAUUGAUGCCACCCUUGCUCUUUUGUACCAUUUAUUUGUUAUCCUAUACUAAACAUGUGACAAAUUCUGGUUUGCGAAAAAAAGAAUUAAACCCGAGUUUCUCAAGAAUUAAAGCAAUGGCUCAUGAACACUCGAUCUUGGAUCACUGAUUUAUCAAAUUCUACUUCUUAAUUUGUCGUUUGAUCUCCAUUCAUGUUCUGCUGAAGGUAAACACUAAUAUACCAUUGUUUAUAAAUACCCAUCUCGUUCUAUGUGAUGUAAUUGAUCCAUAAAAUUCAUGCACACCAAGUGUUCGAUAUUUGUCCUAUUAGAACUUAUUCUUAUAAUCUUGUUAAGAUAUCAUGUAAUGGGAGUUUUUGAUUCAAUGAUUAGGAGAACCUUGUUCAAUGUACAUUAUUUGUUUUCUAGUGUAACGCAUCAAGCUCGCAGCUUUUCCCAGAAAACUGUCCCUAAUCAAGUGUCGCAGUAUUUCUGUCAAGCAAAACUCAUAGACUCUAUACGUUUAAGUCUUCGAUCUGGAUCACUUGAUUCACUUGACCCUUUGUUAGAACAUCCAAAUUUAGAUUCAUUUGUAGUCACUAAUGCAAUUCGUUCUGCCCCUUCCCCUGAAUCAGCUCUGUCAUUUGUUGAAGUUCUUAAAAGGGUGCCUGAAUUUUCUCAUACCCAACAUACCCUUUAUGCAAUUGCCAAAGUUUUUGCUAAGUCCGGUCGUAUUCGACAGCUGAAAAAGCUUGUUGAUGCUAUAAAUGGUGGAGAAUUCCCAAAGGUUCGACGUGUUAGUUGUAUGGAUCAAAUGCGGUGGUAUGCUAUUGCUGGUGAUAUUGAGUUGGUACUUACUGUGAGGGAUGAGCUUCGUGCUCGUCGUAAACGCCCAUGUAUUGAAUAUAAUAACAUUGUCAUGGAUCUUUAUGUAAAAAUGGGCAAGGACUUGGAAGCUGUUCAGACAUUUCAGAACAUAAUGCAAGAAGGAACUAUUCCAAACUCUAGGACAUUUACUAUAGUAGUUGAGCACCUUAUUAACUCUGGGAAAGUAGAAAAUGCAAAAGAGGUUUUCGAUAUUUUGCCACGAAUGAGGUUUAAGCGUACUCUACGGCAGUAUUCAGUUCUAAUAGAGGCAUUUGUGAAGUUUCAGAAGUUUGAGGAUGUGAAGAAGCUUCUUAAAGAAAUGAAGACGGAAGGAUUACUGCCUCCAAGAUCUACUUUGUUGUCAUUGCAACAUAUGUAUGAGGCAGGUGUUUUGGAAGAGGGUGAUGAAGUUUUUAAAGAGAUGGUUCCUGAUUAUAGGAUUCAGAACAUAGAGUUAAGUGUGGAGCUCAAUAACGGUAACGAUGAAGAAGACUGCGAUGACUGCAGCAGUGAAUCUGAUGUUAGUAGUGUUCAGUUGAAGCCAUGGUUGGACCCGAGUGCUUUAGUACAUGCAUUACGACACUGGAGAGAUGAUGACAUAUCUGCUUUAGAAGAAGCUAAACUUAUCUGGACUAGCCGCUUGGUCUGCAAGAUGGUUAGACACUUUAAAUCGCCUCAAACAGCCUGGCAGUUUUUCUGCUGGGUUACUAAGCAACCUGGAUUCAUGCAUGAUAUUCACACUUACACAGGGAUUAUCACCAAAGUAGCAAGCCAUGGGAGGGUUGAUUUAGUUGAUGAUUUAUUGUUAAAACUGAAGAAUGAAGGAUUUAAGUUGGCAAUCAGCACAGUCAGACAAAUUAUUGAUUUCUAUGGCCUUUUCAAGGAAGGAGAUGCUGCUUUGAAGGUUUUCCAUGAUGUGAAAGUGCUCUGUAAUCAAUUAUCGGAUUUUGAUUACGUGCUUUUAUAUUCCUCUCUCUUACGAACGUUGCUGAAGUGUGGGAGAGAUAACGAUGCCAUUGAUACGGUCAAGCAGAUGUCUAAUGUUGGAAUUCACCCUGAUGCUCAGACAUAUUCUGGUUUGAUGCAUCAUUUUGCAGUUCAGGGUGAUUUCAGAACCAUACAAAAUAUAUUUGAGAUGCUUAGAAAGUGUGGUGUACAUUCAGAUGCUUUUAUGUAUAAGACCCUUGUUCGUGCCUAUUGCAAGUGUGGAAGAGCUACUCUUGCAUUGAGACUUUUAGAAGACAUUAGGAACGCUGGUUUGCUUCCAGAUCGUGAGACAAAGUCGUUGCUUGUCAAAGGUCUAUGGAAGGAAGGGAGACUAAGAGAAGCUUCUAUUGUUGAAGAGACUUGUAAGGAGGGGGAUCACAUCCUUCCACUUCCUUCAGCUAGUCAGAUGUUCAAUGUCAGCUCUGCUGAUCUUUUAAUUAUACACAAGUUAUAUAGUGGCAGUAUUCUGAGUACUUUUAAUUAGUGCUAGUUGGUGGGUUAUCAUAUGUAUCUUUGGAUCAUAUUUUCAGCACUUAGUUGCAUUGAAGUGCUAUUUUUUCUAUUUCCAGCAUCUCCCUGGAUUUCCAGAAAAAUUGCAUUUGAACAUCUGCGUAACAUCAGGCUGUUAGAUUGACAUUAGAAAUCUCGACUGCCAGGGAUUACAAGAAUAAUGUCAUUGACAUGCUCAAAACUUUGGAUAGGGACCUUAUAUUUUCUUCCAUAUCUGGCCUACUUGAUGGAUCUCUAUUUAGACAAACCUCUAUCAAUCUAGCUAAAGAAAUAGCAGGUUCAGAAGGAUAAUUUCCUUUUAACGAAGGAUCAAUCAGGCUUCUCAGCCGAUCCUUUCCUUUUGUUUCAUCAAAUACACCCACAAAAACCUCUAAAAUAUUCCCAUCAAGCCUUCCAUACAGAUCAACAGCCUUUUCUCCUGUGACCACCUCUAGCAUUAGUAUCCCAAAUGCAUAGACAUCUAGUUUUGGCGAGAGUUCACCUUUCUCUCGGUACUCUGGUGAAACAUAAACUUGUUCAGUCACACUUUGACCUUUCUGUCCUUCUCCCGCGCUUGCUGGACUGAAUUUACUGAUUUUUCCUCGAAAAUCACUGUCAAGCAGAAUUU